AGGUUACUGCUAUCGGUGUUCGUCUAAGCCAUGCGAGUCAUAUGUUCGUAAGAACAUGGCGUACUGCUCAGUAACACGUGGAUAACCUGCCCUUGGGUCCGGCAUAACCCGGGAAACUGGGGAUAAUUCCGGAUAACGCACAUAUGCUGGAAUGCUUUAUGCGUAAAAUGGAUUCGUCUGCCCAAGGAUGGGUCUGCGGCCUAUCAGGUAGUAGUGGGUGUAAUGUACCUACUAGCCUACGACGGGUACGGGUUGUGAGAGCAAGAGCCCGGAGAUGGAUUCUGAGACAUGAAUCCAGGCCCUACGGGGCGCAGCAGGCGCGAAAACUUUACAAUGCGGGAAACCGUGAUAAGGGGACACCGAGUGCCAGCAUCCUAUGCUGGCUGUCCGGGUGUGUAAAAUACACCUGUUAGCAAGGGCCGGGCAAGACCGGUGCCAGCCGCCGCGGUAACACCGGCGGCCCGAGUGGUGAUCGUGAUUAUUGGGUCUAAAGGGUCCGUAGCCGGUUUGGUCAGUCCUCCGGGAAAUCUGACAGCUUAACUGUUAGGCUUUCGGAGGAUACUGCCAGACUUGGAACCGGGAGAGGUAAGAGGUACUACAGGGGUAGGAGUGAAAUCUUGUAAUCCCUGUGGGACCACCUGUGGCGAAGGCGUCUUACCAGAACGGGUUCGACGGUGAGGGACGAAAGCUGGGGGCACGAACCGGAUUAGAUACCCGGGUAGUCCCAGCCGUAAACGAUGCUCGCUAGGUGUCAGGCAUGGCGCGACCGUGUCUGGUGCCGCAGGGAAGCCGUGAAGCGAGCCACCUGGGAAGUACGGCCGCAAGGCUGAAACUUAA
rnacentral:rRNA from 1 species